rnacentral:rRNA from 1 species
GCACGCCUAAUACAUGCAAGUCGAACGAAGUAGCAAUACUUAGUGGCAGACGGGUGAGUAACAUGUGGGUAUCUUCCCUUUGGUGAGGAAUAACACGAGGAAACUUGUGCUAAUACCUCAUAAGUCUUUACGGAGAAAGCUUUAUGCGCCAUUGGAUGAGCCUGCACUUGAUUAGUUUGUUGGUGGGGUAAUGGCCUACCAAGACUUUGAUCAAUAGCUGAUUUGAGAGGAUGAUCAGCCACAUUGGGACUGAGACACGGCCCAAACUCCUACGGGAGGCAGCAGUAGGGAAUCUUGCACAAUGGAGGAAACUCUGAUGCAGCGAUGCCGCGUGAGUGAAGAAGGCCCUUGGGUUGUAAAGCUCUUUCGUCGGGGAAGAAAAUGACUGUACCCGAAUAAGAAGGUCCGGCUAACUUCGUGCCAGCAGCCGCGGUAAUACGAAGGGACCUAGCGUAGUUCGGAAUUACUGGGCUUAAAGAGUUCGUAGGUGGUUAAAAAAGUUGGUGGUGAAAUCCCAGAGCUUAACUCUGGAACUGCCAUCAAAACUUUUUAGCUAGAGUAUGAUAGAGGAAAGCAGAAUUUCUAGUGUAGAGGUGAAAUUCGUAGAUAUUAGAAAGAAUACCGAUUGCGAAGGCAGCUUUCUGGAUCAUUACUGACACUGAGGAACGAAAGCAUGGGUAGCGAAGAGGAUUAGAUACCCUCGUAGUCCAUGCUGUAAACGAUGUGUGUUAGACGUUGGAAAUUUAUUUUCAGUGUCGCAGUGAAAACAAUAAACACACCGCCUGGGGAGUACG